UCCGGUUGAUCCUGCCGGACCUGACUGCUAUCGGAUUGAUACUAAGCCAUGCGAGUCAUUGUAGCAAUACAAGGCAUACGGCUCAGUAACGCGUAGUCAACCUAACCUAUGGACGGGAAUAACCUCGGGAAACUGAGAAUAAUGCCCGAUAGAACACUAUACCUGGAAUGGUUUGUGUUCCAAAUGAUUUAUCGCCAUAGGAUGGGACUGCGGCCUAUCAGUUUGUUGGUGAGGUAAUGGCCCACCAAGACUAUUACAGGUACGGGCUCUGAGAGGAGUAGCCCGGAGAUGGGUACUGAGACACGGACCCAGGCCCUAUGGGGCGCAGCAGGCGAGAAAACUUUGCAAUGUGCGAAAGCACGACAAGGUUAAUCCGAGUGAUUUGUGCUAAACGAAUCUUUUGUUAGUCCUAGAACCACUAACGAAUAAGGGGUGGGCAAGUUCUGGUGUCAGCCGCCGCGGUAAAACCAGCACCUCAAGUGGUCAGGAUGAUUAUUGGGCCUAAAGCAUCCGUAGCCGGCUCUGUAAGUUUUCGGUUAAAUCUGUACGCUUAACGUACAGGCUGCCGGGAAUACUGCAGAGCUAGGGAGUGGGAGAGGUAGACGGUACUCGGUAGGAAGUGGUAAAAUGCUUUGAUCUAUCGAUGACCACCUGUGGCGAAGGCGGUCUACCAGAACACGUCCGACGGUGAGGGAUGAAAGCUGGGGGAGCAAACCGGAUUAGAUACCCGGGUAGUCCCAGCUGUAAACUAUGCAAACUCAGUGAUGCAUUGGCUUGUGGCCAAUGCAGUGCUGCAGGGAAGCCGUUAAGUUUGCCGCCUGGGAAGUACGUACGCAAGUAUGAAACUUAAAGGAAUUGGCGGGGGAGCACCACAAGGGGUGAAGCCUGCGGUUCAAUUGGAGUCAACGCCGGA
rnacentral:rRNA from 1 species